AGCCUCGUCAGGCUCAGUCCCCUCCCGAUAAAACCCUAAAUAGGGACCUUCCAUGGGGGUGACCGUGGCUUUUCUGGCG
ensembl:miRNA MIR484 microRNA 484